rnacentral:ncRNA from 1 species
AUAAAGGCAGUGAAGAGAAGAGUACAUGAAGGAUGCUGGCAAAGAGAGCUCGGGCAGGUGAAAACGAGUACAGACGAAUCCAUGGAAGAUGGCCUCUGAGCCUGGCAUGCUGAAUGAUGAAGCAGCCCGGGAGCUCCCGUUAUAGAGAUAGGGUAUCAAGGCAACAGCCGGCGUACCUGAUAAGGUGUUCUGGAGCGAUCCGGACAUAAAAUUGGGUGGUAACACGAAUGACGAUCUCGUCCCUUUG